GGCAGCUGCUGUAGCUCAGUAGUAGAGCAUUUGCUUGCCAUGCAAAAGUUCCCAGGUUCAAAAGUCUGGAACCCAGGAGAGCCACUGCCA